rnacentral:rRNA from 1 species
CAGCAGCCGCGGGAAUACGGAGGGGGCUAGCGUUGUUCGGAAUUACUGGGCGUAAAGCGCACGUAGGCGGCUUUGUAAGUUAGAGGUGAAAGCCUGGAGCUUAACUCCAGAAUUGCCUUUAAGACUGCAUCGCUUGAAUCCGAGAGAGGUGAGUGGAAUUCCGGGUGUAGAGGUGAAAUUCGUAGAUAUUCGGAAGAACACCAGUGGCGAAGGCGGCUCACUGGCUCAUUCUAGACGCUGAGGUGCGAAAGCGUGGGGGAGCAAACAGGAUUAGAUACCCCUGUAGUCCCUGUCUCUUAUU